UACAGAGGGUGCGAGCGUUGUCCGGAAUCACUGGGCGUAAAGGGCGCGUAGGUGGUGGCUUAAGCGUGCGGUGAAAGCUCGGGGCUCAACCCCGAGUCGGCCGUGCGAACUGGGCUCACUGGAGCAUAGUAGAGGCAGGUGGAAUUCCGGGUGUAGCGGCGGAAUGCGUAGAGAUCCGGAAGAACACCGGUGGCGAAGGCGGCCUGCUGGGCUAUGGCUGACACUGAGGCGCGACAGCGUGGGGAGCAAACAGG
rnacentral:rRNA from 1 species